ensembl:lncRNA
GGAGAGCAAAAUGGGGAGAAGGUGGGAGAAAGGGAGAGAGAGGCUGCAGUGUUACAAUCAUGUACAUUUUCUAAAUAGAAGAGUAAAUAUUAGACUUCACAUGCCGGGGUCUAAAGGAUCAUCCUUGAAAGGAAGUGAGACCUGUCUGAUUAUUUUUCCAUGUCAGUUGUGAUGCUCUGUACUUACAUAUCAAAAGAGAAAGAAAAAGUAACUUUAGGUUGACAAAUAAGCCUUUUGCAUUCCAGUCUGAACAUGUCUGAGUUAAACACUGAGUCAUCCCCUAGUCCAAAUACUAAAACACUAAAAGAAAAGAUGUCAAGUUUUUUCCUUGUUGAAAACCAGCUGCAUCAUUCACCAGGAAAUUUUUAAAGUAAUAAUUUGUAUGUUUUACUUUAUUUUCAUUUUGCAUAAGAUGAUUAGCUCCAGAAUCUGACUGAUAGCCCAGAAUUAUCUUGACAAGGUCUACAUGCACACCAGUACACACCUGUUUCUCCCCGAUUCGUGUUUCAUUUAGUAGAAAAUUCCCAACCAGGUCAUCCUAGUUCACUGGCAUCUGACUGUUGUCUCCCCUGCCCUUUAAUUGUUCCUAUCUCUUUAAAAAAAAAAAGAAAGAAAGAAAGAAAGAAAACAGAAUAACCAUAGUUGUUACUGCUCUUAACUGCAAUUCCUCCCUUAACAGAACUUUAAAAAUUGCUUUUUUUUCUGUUUUGCUACUCAUGCUACUAUUACAGCCCUUCUUUAUUGGAAACAGAGAUAUGUAAUAUACGUUGUUUGGCACUAAAAAGAGCACGACUCUCAUUUCUGGAAAGGUUAGACAAAUAAGCAUCUGUCAAAUAUGUUCAGAGACUUUAGCUGGAGUAUAUUUUUGUGUGUUCUCAUGGUUUUGUUGUCAGUUAUCUUAAAGUUCACUUCUUACACCCCUUCCCCUUCAGUAAUCUUUCAUAUUUUAAGCUAUUAGUAAAUAAAAAUAUUAGAUGCUCUGUAGUCAAAGGAAAUUCUCAUAUUUUAGAUCUUCAGAUAAAUCCGUAUACAUUCAUCCUCUUAAAAUAGACCAGAAUGAAGGUAUUGGGACCCAGUGAUCAGUUAAUGCUAUAAACUUUUCACAAGGACACUUUAAAAAGUGUAGGUUAAAUAAAAUGAAGAAAAUAUGCAAGUGAUAAAAAAAAUGUAAUCUAUACAUCCAUGUAUUUUGAGUCCAAAUUUGAACUGUAGAUCAUUGUCCAUCCUCCAUCUUCCCUGGCCUAAACCUCAUCAGUGUUUUUAAAUAUAUUUCCCACAAUAACAAUGAGUUCAAAUGGCCUUUCUGAGAAAAGAUUUUUUGUAAGGUAGGAGGCAGGUUAUAUUAAAAUAUUUCAGAGCAGUGACUGUUACUUUUAACUUAAUAAAUCAUUUGAUAUACAUCCAGAUCUAUCGUGGUUUUUUUUUUUAAGUUAACAGAACACAUAUAAAAAUAGUUAAUCUAGGAAAACCAUACUUGCAUUGCUUGAUCAAAUUAAAUACAAAACAGAAGGAAAUUUUUACUUUGUAAAUAGUUUAGCCAUAGUCAUACUCUCAUUUACAGAUGUUUUAGUAUUGAUGAAUGGAAGUUUAGAAUAAGAAGAGACCUUAAAUCCAUGUCUAUGACAGUCAUAGUUGAACUGAUUGAUUAUAUUGUCUUUCAAACAAAUAUUGAUUGAAUCAUGUCUGCAUUCCCAUUGGUCCAAUGGUGGUCUUGACAGAAGCCUAGGCACUUGAAACUGUCUCAGUCCUAUCUGGAUAUUAAUAUUUUAAAUGCAUGGCCAUUUAUAAUUAUUAUUUUUCUUCAAACCUUUAUUCUUGAUUUUCUAAUUCACUUGAUUAAUAUUUUAUGCCUUCUGUAAAGUUAAGUAGCAUGUGUAUCUGUAUGUAAUAAACAAAGAAAGCAUGGGAUAGGAAAAGAAGUUGCCUUUGCAUCUGUUUCUGAUUCGCAGAGCUAGGAGUGAGGUGUUUAUGCAGGCAGUCCACAGAGCUAAGAUAUCAGUCGGCAGUUUGCUGUAAGCACAUGUUCAAUUAUUAAAAUAGUCGACAUUUUAUGUCUGAUAGCCAUAGCGAGGUCACGACAUUAAUUUAUCCAGAGUAUUGUGGGCAACUGUCUAGAGAAAAAAUAGCAUAAAAGACACUGAUGAUGCUGGAGAGAGACAGAAAAAGAAAAAGAAAGAUGGAUCAGAGCAAAGAGACUCUAAGAGAUGACCAAUUUAAUACACACAGGUAGAACAGGAGGGCUGAAGUCAGCAGGCGUCUCACUGUUACCAACAGUAACUAUUUUAAGCUGUGCUGUGCAUGUGUUGAUUUCUGUUAUGGGUUUUCAUUAGAUUCUAAGCUUUGGUUAGACUCUAUUCUAGUCCUUGGUUUCUGAAAUCUAAUAUUGCAUUUGUUGUUUCAGUGCUCAGUGAUUCUUUGCUCUUUCUUCUCUGUCCCUUUCUUCCCCUUCUCCAUUCCCCUCCCUCUUCCUAUUUCUUCGUUUCCUUUUCUUCCCACCUCAUAUUCUUUCCCUUCCUGCCUUUCUCUCUCCGGUGAGAGUGUGUACUUAAUACCAUGCCUCCUCCCGGUGACCACUUCGUUCUUUAUUUGCGUUUUUUGGGUUUGCACUUGAAUUUUUCCUUUUUUUCUGUUCUUUUUCUUUCAAAUCAGAAGCCUGUAGGAGCAGCUUAUAGAGGUACAUAUCCUACUGCAGAUGCUUCUUUCUGAGUUAUGUGAUGUUUUUUUUGGAACCUCUGCAAAUGAUCGUCCUUCAUGUUUGUUGCCACAGAUCUAUUGCCAAACUGCUACCUUAGUUGGUCCUGCAGUGCUGCAGUGCAUGCUGGGAUCUGUCUGUGUGAGUAAACCGAAAUCUCUCCACCACCAGACAGCGUUAGAGUUGGCUUGAGAGCUGCCUUACUUUUCUUCCCUUUGUGUGUUUCUUGUGUGCUGCAGAGUCACCGAUGGCUAGCUCUGUCUGGCAAGUAAUUCAGAAAUAUCGCUCAUGUAGAAAGAAAAGGUAGGCUGUUUACUGCAUUCUAUCAUUAAAGGGAACAACUGAAGAACAAAGGAACUGGAAAAAUACCUAUAUACAGCUUUUUAAGUUAUGAAACGCUGUAGCACAAACACGACCAUUCAGCCAGACUUUUACUUCCUUUUGUAACAAUGCACAGAGUAGAUUGUUUUCACAUCUGUACACAAAUCCAUAUUUUCUGUAAACAUAUUUAAUUUUUAAUAUUUGUAGUCUGCACACAUUUCUUAGUCUCCAAGACUUUCACAUAUUCAUCAACACGGCUAUGUAUUAUUAUUUUUUGAAAGUUCUUAAAUCAAAAAAGUGAAAUAUAUACCAACAUCCUUUUGGUUGAUUUCAUUCCAGUAAGUUAGGGUUUCAACACAGUUUAAAUCAUAUUGAUGAUUCAGAUACUGGCAGAUCUUGUAAUUCCUAUGAAAUGAGAGCACAGCUAAUAAAAAUACUAAGCAAUUAUUUUUGUUAAAAUCAUAGCUUUUUUCAUCAUGCAAUAGAAAUGAUUGAUCCUGAAAGAACCACCUCACUCAUCUGUCUCUUGGGCUGUUUGGGGGCUUCAUAUAUAGAAGUGGAAAAGCUCC